rnacentral:sRNA from 1 species
CCUGGUCGCUGCCCCCGCUCAUCUCCCCGCUCCAACAUGCAAUAUGCAGUGCAUGCAAAAUGGUACUUCUAUGUUCGUAACGUCCAAGUCAAAACACAACAGUACACUCCCAGCGGCCACACUACUAGUGAUAUCACUAGCAACAAGAGAAAACAGAAAACUAUAUAAAUUACCACACACCCCCAACCAUGUCAUCCGCAUGUGCAAGUGCUGCCUCGAAGUCCUCCAGCACCAGGCCGUCAUCGAAUGGUAAACCCUCAAGAGGCACAUCGCUUGAAGGUGGUAGUAAAUGGCCCUUAUCCCAUCGAGCAGACAUGGGAGGGUGAACAACCUGCCGCUGUGCAUUACCGAUGUUAUAGGUUGGCAUAUCAUCAGUGUGCAUACUACUGCUUUGGCUCUGGAAAGCGAAUUGACCAGCCGAUGGAGAAAAUGGAAGAGCAGCGUCGUGGACGUAGAACUCGUUGAAUGCUUGUUGGUCAGGCAUUAUCGUGACUUGGAACUGGGGUUGAGGCUGAGGGUAGAGGAAAUGUCGUGAAGUCAAUGAGUAUGUAUGUGCAGCAGUGGGAACUGUAGGCGGGCUUCGUUGGUCGGGCUGAAAACCUUGUUGAGUAGAAGUAAAAGUGAAUGCCUGCUUCUCGUUGGGUUCUGCAGGAAUGUCAUCCGACCAAGGAGCUAGGCCUUGGUGACUGUACGCCAUAUACUGCAUUUGCCUAAUGGGAACCUGAUUUUGUCCCUGUGUCAAUACAUACUCGAAUCUGUUGGAAGGCUCGGGUGAUUGUGAAGAUCUGGUACUCUCAAAAGCACUGGACUGCCGUCUUCGAGAACCCUGAACGUCGCGGUCCAUUGAGGUGGAACGAGAAAGAUCACUCCAGUCACCAGGGUUGAAAGAUUGUUGUCUUUGUCGAGCUUGGGCUCGUAAUGCCCGAAGUGCGCCUUUGGAUAGCUCGCAAGCGCCAUUCGCACGUCUGGAUAAAGCCCUAACUCGGCGACAUUCUUGCACUUUUCCUCUUCGGCCUCAUCUUUCCGAACUCGUCGGCGGACAACGUUAGUUCGACGAUAGACUGGCUGAUACCGAUAGCCAGGAUAUUUCUUCAUGUGCUCUUCCUUCUCAAUGCGAGCGAGCUCGUUAAAGUGGGCCUUCUGCUCAACUGGAGCCUAAUAUUUGAGGAAUGAGUUUUGCAUCCACAACAUGUUUCCUGAAAAGGAUGAAAGCAUUUCGGGGUCUAGGAAUAUGGUCUGCAGUUUGCUAUUGAUGGAUUUAAUCCCUUGGCCAUGACCGAAGCAAGGAAAAGACAUACCUUCCUUGCAUGGCUGACUUUUUUCUUGCAGUUCUCUACUUUCUCCUUCGAACUUUCUGAAACUACUGGUGGAACCUCUGUUCUUGUGAGCUCCCUUGGCUUGGCUGUCUCUAGCAUUUCUUCGUCUGCUUUCUCAUCCUUUUCUAUGGAUGCGAACAAUUUUGGGUCGAUUGAUAAACUGGACACUCUUUGAAGUGAACAUUGGCUUGAAUGCUUUUGGAAUCCAUUCAAAAGACUUUGUGGAGAAAUGCUGGAGGGCAAUGUGGACAUGGUGGAAGCAUCAUCAUCGAAUUCAGACGCAGUGUUGGUAUCUGACGUGACGGUGGACCAGCCGGAGAGUGAGGAAGUUGAUCGUUGAGUGCGAAGUGAGUACGGAUAGACAUGAGGCUGAUAAGGAAAGUUAGAUUGGCCGUGGUAAGGUUGAGAUUGAGCUUGAUUGGGAGGAAUAGAAAGUAGAGAGAAAGAAUCAUCUGCUCCUCCGUCAGUGGAUUUCACCUUACAAGAGGAUAGACAAAAGGAGACCUACGAGGAGGAUCUUCAAUGAGAUCUGGUAUACCCGCGAACCCGUUAGUCAUCCAGGCGUUGUCCAUGGUCUGUCUGGCUAUCUUAUGUGGUCAAAUAUAAGUUCUCUGGGAAGUGCUAGAUCAACUGAAUUUGAGGUCAAAGCGGGAAUGGGAAGGAAUACUUGGGUGGUACAACAAAGGGAAUGCUCUUCUUAUACCAACAGGUCCUCUCUGUCCUGUAAUACGAUAUCUGCUAACCUUACUUAAUUCGGUAUCGGCGUUUCAAAGCUAUAUCCCAAGGUCACACACCAAUCCGGGAUGAGCCCCUGCACUUUAGGGAGGUCAUUGGCGUAGCUCCAGAAGAGAAGGUGAUUGAAAGGCCUCCCGUUCUUCUCAUUUUUGGAUCCCAUGGUGUUCCAUUCAUCCCAAAUCGGCCCCACGUCCUUCCUUCAUUUUGGCGGAUAUGCCACCGCCCUUCCUUCCCUUUGGCCAGGAGAUAAGUGCUGUAGAUUGAAAAUUGCUGAGCUCAAUUUGGCCGUCCACUGAUGACGGGUAACACAAUUGGUCCUUUGGGAGUAAGAGUUGACAUAACGAACCUCCUUUCUUUGUGGCUGCCGCCUUUCGUCCAUUUUGCGCAUCUCCAUAGCAUAAUAUUGAGUCUAAAGGAUGCUGAGUUUGGAUGGCUAUCAUUUCCCAGUAAGUGGCAUGUAUGCAGACAGGGUUAGUUGAUAGCAAUUAUGCUUUGACUGUCUUCGUUCAAUCUCUUCAUCUCUCUCUUUUUCUCUACAGGGCGUUCUUCACAUAGGCAUGAAGCAAACCCCAGAGUAACAAAGUAUCAAGGCAUUCAAGUAUUGUAACUUUUGGUUAGAGCAGCAGGAUUAUUGUCC